CAAUAGCGUAUAUUAAAGUUGUUGCAGUUAAAAAGCUCGUAGUUGGAUUUCUGAUCGAGACAUCAGGUCGGGUCCGAGAGGAUCAUGUACUUUGAUUUUGUUUUGAUCAUCCUUGGGGAGAGCAUUUCUGGCAUUCAGUUGUCGGGAUUGGGAUCCUCAUCGUUUACUGUGAAAAAAUUAGAGUGUUCAAAGCAGGCCUCGGCCUCUGAAUACAUUAGCAUGGAAUAAUAAGAUAGGACUUUGGUGGUCUGUUUUGUUGGUUUGCACGCCAAAGUAAUGAUUAAUAGGGAUAGUUGGGGGUAUUCGUAUUCAAUUGUCAGAGGUGAAAUUCUUGGAUUUAUGGAAGACGAACUACUGCGAAAGCAUUUACCAAGGAUGUUUUCAUUAA
rnacentral:rRNA from 1 species